UACAGAGGGUGCAAGCGUUGUUCGGAAUUACUGGGCGUAAAGGGCGCGUAGGCGGCCUGCUAAGUCGGAUGUGAAAUCCCUCGGCUCAACCGAGGAACUGCAUCCGAUACUGGCGGGCUUGAAUCCGGGAGAGGGAUGUGGAAUUCCAGGUGUAGCGGUGAAAUGCGUAGAUAUCUGGAGGAACACCGGUGGCGAAGGCGGCAUCCUGGACCGGUAUUGACGCUGAGGCGCGAAAGCUAGGGGAGCAAACGGG
rnacentral:rRNA from 1 species